AAAAACAACUGUAUUUCUCUAAGUCUGAGUUAUUCAGUCUAAAUACCAUGUGUAAUAUAUACAGUCAAGGUUAAGUUUUAUCCAGCCUGGUCCAGAACUGACCACAGCUACUUCUCAUGAAUGAGUUUAGGACCUAGGCUUGCACCACCACUCUUGCUUCAUACUUUGAGGUUCCAGCCCCUUACCUCGCCAGUUUUUGCUGCUUCUCACGUAGCUGGGAGCUUGUGAAACCUAAUGCCAAAAUCAGUGUUUGUGUACUGGAUUCACCAGGGGAGAAAAUGUUGAAUCAGAUUCUCAGCCUGCCUGAGCCUCCUACCUUUUGUAUUCUUCAUGUAUCAUAAUAUUUAAUAAAAGGGAAACUGUAGUCUUUAA